ensembl:lncRNA
GGGGGGGGGGGAUCUGCAGUGUGGCAAUUACGUGGAUUCUAGAAGAGAAAGAGAGCAAAAAAAAAAAAAAAGUUCGAAAGGAACAAAUGGUUUCCCCAACUCUUUGUUUGGAAGAGGAAGCUAAGCGAGUAGGUGCAAAGAUAAACAUUUCAGAGGAGGAAACAGAAGGGGAUUCUGCCCGCUGCGGAGCUGGUGAUGUAGAUGUUGGAGCAGAAGGAAGCUGAAAGGAAACAGAGGGGCAUUGUGCCCGGAAUGCGGGGAAUCGGCAGCACGCAGCGCAGCGCUGGCGCAGCUCAAACCCGGACAUUAAAACCUACACGUGGGCUUUGAAAAUGCGGAGCGGGAGCGGCUAGCUGCCAUUGAGGCAGGGUCAAAGGACGUGCUUUGAAACAGAUCUCAGCUUCAAGGCUGAAAAAGGGGUUAUGUGAAAAAUCGGGGAACUUGCAGAGAUCUAAUGAAGAGUUGCCUCAGGCAAGAGAAGGAACUACUUAUUUAAAUCCAAAGAGCCUGGAUUUACAACAAGACCAAGUUGAGUUACAGCAGCGAUGUGAGACUGGAAAUAAGGCUUGCACCGAAAAGGUGAAAAUGAGCUGUAAUCGGGAAAUAAGGGGCGACUGGAAGUUGUUAUAAGGGAACUGAAUGUCGAAAAACUGUUUGGAAUAACACAUCUUUAGAAACGGUUGGAAAUACUUGCUGGCACCACCGUUAGGCGAUGCACUUGGCGGUCCCGGGGGGAUUAUCUACCGCAAUUAUCAGACGGAAGAGCUCCGUUAGGUGCAAUUAAAAACAAGAGCACAAAGCGGGAGCUCCGAUGGUGCCAGGAGGGUGCAGUGUUGCGGCUGCCCGGCAGGGGGCGCUGUGAGCACGGAGCGGAGCGGGAGCGCGGGGGCUGCGGGGCCGGCAGGCGGUAGGCAGAGCGCCAGGAUUUGUCGGGACUUUGAGGAAGAAAGGAUUUAGUAAUUGUUCAUUUGUCUUUUUAAAGAGGUCUCUGCAACAGCUGAGGUUUCUAAAAAGAAAAAAAAAAAGAAUAAGAAAGAAAUGAAAAAGAAGGAGAAAGAAGAAAAAGAAAAUGAAAAAGAGGAAGAAGGAAAAGAAAGAGAAAAAGAGAAAGCAAAAAAAUAAAAAGGAAAAGAAGAAGGAAAAGGAAAAGGAAAAAAAAGGAAAAAGAACAGGAAGAGGAAGAGGAAAGAGGAAAGAGGAAAGAGGAAAGAGAGAAAGUAAAAGGAGAGAAACCAGCAUCAGAAUCCUGUUGUCUAGUGCUGGCCUCAGCCAUGAUGGGGUAAAAGUUCAGUUCCUGAGUGCAGGCUCCCAGGGAAGUGACAAGCCUGUGCAUCCCCAUUGUGAUCAUAAAGAGAACACGAGAUGUUCUCAGAGGCUCUGGGACUUGUGAUGGAGGCAGCCACUUUCCUCAGGUUUCUGCGGGGUGUCCCCGGAGCACUGCAGCAGAUGUCUCCCUGGGGGCUCACAGCAGCUGCUGGGGGUUCAUUGC